AUUGAACGCUGGCGGCAGGCCUAACACAUGCAAGUCGAGCGAGCGGCGGACGGGUGAGUAAUGUAUGGGGACUGCCCGAUAGAGGGGGAUAACUACUGGAAACGGUGGCUAAUACCGCAUACAGUCGGAUAACACAUAUGGGAUUAGAUAGUGGGUAAGGUAAUGGCUUACCUAGUCGACGAUCCCUAGCUGGUCUGAGAGGAUGAUCAGCCACACGGUGACUGAGCCACGGCCCAGACUCCUACGGAGGCAGCAGUGGGGAAUAUUGCACCAUGGGCGCAAGCCUGAUGCAGCCAUGCCGCGUGUAUGAAGAAGGCCCUAGGGUUGUAAAGUACUUUCAGUCGGGAGGCGUUACCGACAGAAGAAGUGACGGCUAAAUACGUGCCAGCAGCCGCGGUAAUAC
rnacentral:rRNA from 1 species